rnacentral:rRNA from 1 species
AUUGAACGCUGGCGGCAUGCCUUACACAUGCAAGUCGAACGGCAGCACGGGGCAACCUGGUGGCGAGUGGCGAACGGGUGAGUAAUGCAUCGGAACGUACCUUUCAGUGGGGGAUAACGUAGCGAAAGUUACGCUAAUACCGCAUAUUCUGUGAGCAGGAAAGCAGGGGAUCGCAAGACCUUGCGCUGAUUGAGCGGCCGAUGUCAGAUUAGCUAGUUGGUGAGGUAAAGGCUCACCAAGGCGACGAUCUGUAGCGGGUCUGAGAGGAUGAUCCGCCACACGGGAACUGAGACACGGUCCAGACUCCUACGGGAGGCAGCAGUGGGGAAUUUUGGACAAGGGGGGCAACCCUGAUCCAGCCAUGCCGCGUGAGUGAAGAAGGCCUUCGGGUUGUAAAGCUCUUUCGGCCGGGAAGAAAUCGCACGGGCUAAUACCCUGUGUGGAUGACGGUACCGGAAUAAGAAGCACCGGCUAACUACGUGCCAGCCGCCGCUGUAAGAC